rnacentral:rRNA from 1 species
AGAGUUUGAUCAUGGCUCAGGAUCAACGCUGGCGGCGUGCCUAAUGCAUGCAAGUCGUGCGGGCUGCCUUUGGGCAGUCACGCGGCGGACGGGUGCGUAACACGUGGGCAACCUGCCCUGGGGCGGGGGGUAGCCUCCGGAAACGGAGGGUAAUUCCGCAUACGCUCGGCUCCCUCGUCGGGGGGUCGAGGAAAGGCGAAAGCCACCCCAGGAUGGGCCUGCGGCCGAUUAGCUAGACGGCGGGGUAACGGCCCACCGUGGCUGUGAUCGGUAGCUGGUCUGAGAGGACGGCCAGCCACACGGGGACUGAGACACGGCCCCGACACCUACGGGUGGCAGCAGCGAGGAAUCUUCUACAAUGGGCGCAAGCCCGAUAGAGCAACGCCGCGUGGAGGACGACGGCCUUCGGGUUGUAAACUCCUUUCGGGGGGGAUGACACAGGACAGUACCCCCAGAAGCAGCCCCGGCUAACUCUGUGCCAGCAGCCGCGGUAAGACAGAGGGGGCAAGCGUUGUCCGGAUUUACUGGGCGUACAGCGCGCGCAGGUGGUCCACUAUGUGCCGUGUGACAAUUGGAGGCUUAACCUCCAGCGGCCACGGUAGACAGGUGGACUGGAGGCAGGGAGAGGGCUGUGGAAUACCCGGUGGAGCGGUGAAAUGCGUAGAGAUCGGGUGGAACACCAGCGGCGAAGGCGGCAGCCUGGCCCUGUACUGACACUGAGGCGCGAGAGCGUGGGGAGCGAACAGGAUUAGAUACCCCGGUAGUCC